rnacentral:rRNA from 1 species
UACGUAGGGAGCAAGCGUUGUCCGGAUUUACUGGGUGUAAAGGGUGCGUAGGCGGCCUUGCAAGUCAGAAGUGAAAUCCAUGGGCUUAACCCGUGAACUGCUUUUGAAACUGUAGGGCUUGAGUGAAGUAGAGGCAGGCGGAAUGUGUAGUGUAGCGGUGAAAUGCAUAGAUAUUACACAGAACACCGAUUGCGAAGGCAGCUUGCUAGGCCGGAUCUGACACUGAUGCACGAAAGCGUGGGGAUCGAACAGG